rnacentral:rRNA from 1 species
GAUGAACGCUAGCGGCAGGCCUAAUACAUGCAAGACGAACGGCAAGAUUUUUAGCAAUAGAGAUCCUAGAGUGUCGUAAGGGUGCGUAACACGUAUGCAAUCUGCCCUCAACAGGAGAAUAGCUCCCCGAAAGGGGAAUUAACACUCCGUAAGAUUGUGGUUCGGCAUCGGACAGCAAUUAAAACUGAGGUGGUUGAGGAUGAGCAUGCGCAUGAUUAGUUAGUUGGCGGGGUAACGGCCCACCAAGACGAUGAUCAUUAGGGGAACUGAGAGGUUGAUCCCCCACACUGGAACUGGGAUACGGGCCAGACUCCUACGGGAGGCAGCAGUAGGGAAUAUUGGACAAUGGGUGCGAGCCUGAUCCAGCCAUGCCGCGUGCAGGAAGACGGCCUUCUGGGUUGUAAACUGCUUUUGCCAGGGGAUAAAACGGCUCUGCGGAGCUAAUUGAAAGUACCUGGUGAAUAAGCCACGGCUAACUACGUGCCAGCAGCCGCAGUAACAC